rnacentral:lncRNA from 1 species
AUAUGUGUUAAACUAAAAACUCAAUUAUCCAUUCGGGGACAUAUGCUCUUCUUUGUAUGAGUUUAAGAAAUGUUGUAUUUGAUUGUGUCAUGAUAUUGUAUAUUGCAUAAUAACAAUGAUGACUUUUAUUUACAGGCAGUAAUAAUACGUACUAUUCAUAGAACCAAAUCAUGUAAAAAACCAUAGGCGUGUUCUCUUUCAACUCUGAUAAGAUGCUUCCAUGACCUCGGAUGACUUUUGUUCAUAUUCCACUCAAAUUGACUUUGAAACAUGUGAUGGCGAAAUAAAGGAUUAUCCUUGCCGCCAAAUAGUGGAUCCACAUCGUGACGAUAUUAGCCCGACCAACAGAAAAAAGAAAAUUGAAUUGCAUAAACUAUUUUGUCAGAAAGUUUGCAGUAUUUGUGUAAGCAAGUCUUAAUUGGGAUGUGUUGAAUUUUUUUAAUUUGAAUAAGUUUUGCAUACAAUUCUAGUUUGAUAAUAGAGACUUUAGAUUUAGCGAUUCUUCAGAUUUAGUGAUUGUAUUCUAAUUGAGGUAUAUACUAUCAUAGCAGCUCCCAAAAGCUUAUGAUCAGAUACCUAAGAAAAUUCACAAGAAUUAUUUAUGUAGCCGGUCCAAAUCAUUUUGGGCUUCGGGGGAUGUCAAAUAAUUACUUUUCAUACUAAACUUUUAUACUUAUUUAAAAUAUGUUUACCAUAUUAUAAUUUAAAUUAAUAUAAUUUUAUAUUACUCAAUCACAUAUAUUUUUUCCAAAUAAUAGUUAUAUUAUUCAU